AGAGUUUGAUUAUGGCUCAGGACGAACGCUGGCGGCGUGCUUAACACAUGCAAGUCGAACGAUGACGGUGGUGCUUGCACCGUCUGAUUAGUGGCGAACGGGUGAGUAACACGUGAGUAACCCUGCCCUCCUCUUCGGGAUAACCGCCGGAAAACGGUGGGCUAAUACCGGAUAUGAAUGCCUGCCGCAUGGUGGGUGUUGGAAAGAUUUAUCGGUGGGGGAUGGACUCGCGGCCUAUCAGUUUGUUGGUGAGGUAAUGGCUCACCAAGGCGAUGACGGGUAGCCGGCCUGAGAGGGCGACCGGCCACACUGGGACUGAGACACGGCCCAGACUCCUACGGGAGGCAGCAGUGGGGAAUAUUGCACAAUGGGCGAAAGCCUGAUGCCAGCGACGCCGCGUGGGGGAUGACGGCCUUCGGGUUGUAAACCUCUUUCAGCAGGGAAGAAGCGAGAGUGACGGUACCUGCAGAAGAAGCGCCGGCUAACUACGUGCCAGCAGCCGC
rnacentral:rRNA from 1 species